rnacentral:tmRNA from 1 species
AUUUAUAUCUUUUCCGAUUCAACCUAUAAUUAGAGUGCCGGCUCGCCGGCUAUGGCGCUAAAUGGUUUGCGGAAUAAGCGUUGCGGACCCGGGGGCGGUACCCGGCGCCUCCACCAAUACACCAUCUUUGAGAUGAAAAUGGUGCAUCUGUGGGGGCGAAAUAGGAUCGACGCAUGUAGUAAAGGCAAACUUUGUUCCCGGCAUUGUACCACCGUUAUCGGGCUAUAGUCGUUAAAUGCCAACGACAACUUUGCGGGCGAAGCCCGCCUCGCUGCCUAACUUCGGUUAAGCAAGCGCGGUUCGGGGGGCACCGGGCAACAGAAGCCCCCCAC